rnacentral:lncRNA from 1 species
GGCGAUUGCCGCCUGCAGGGGCGCUGCUACUCCUGGAAUCGCAGGGAUGGCCUUUGUCACAUGGAGUGCAACAACAUGCUGAAUGAUUUUGAUGAUGGGGACUGCUGCGAUCCUGAAGUGACUGAUGUCCGAAAGACUUGCUUUGACCCUGACUCACCCAAGAGGGCAUACAUGAGUGUGAAGGAGCUAAAGGAGGCCUUGCAGCUCAACAGUACUCACUUCCUCAAUGUCUACUUCGCCAGCUCAGUUCGGGAAGACCUUGCAGGUUCUGCCACAUGGCCCUGGGACAAGGAUGCUCUCAGUCACCUGGGUAGGUG